rnacentral:rRNA from 1 species
UACAGAGGGUGCGAGCGUUGUCCGGAAUCACUGGGCGUAAAGCGCGUGUAGGCGGCUUGUUAAGUUGGUUGUGAAAACCCAUGGCUCAACCAUGGAAGGGCGUCCAAAACUGGCAAGCUAGAGUCCCGACGAGGAUGGCGGAAUUCCCAGUGUAGAGGUGAAAUUCGUAGAUAUUGGGAGGAACACCGGUGGCGAAGGCGGCCAUCUGGGAGGGCACUGACGCUGAGACGCGAAAGCGUGGGGAGCAAACAGG